UACAGAGGGGGCUAGCGUUGUUCGGAAUUACUGGGCGUAAAGGGCGCGUAGGUGGCCUGUUAAGUCGAACGUGAAAUCCCCCGGGCUCAACCCGGGAACUGCGUCCGAGACUGGCAGGCUCGAAUCCGGGAGAGGGAUGUGGAAUUCCAGGUGUAGCGGUGAAAUGCGUAGAUAUCAGGAGGAACACCGGUGGCGAAGGCGGGUCUCUGGGCCGAUACUGACGCUGAGGAGCGAAAGCGUGGGGAGCGAACAGG
rnacentral:rRNA from 1 species